GUUCAUGGGCUUAAAUUUGGGCAACCCACCCCUCACCUUUCAUUAACCCAAAAUCCUUAAAAAUCCCUAACCUAGAACCCUAAUUUUGGGGGACCUGGGAGACCUUUUAAGCUUCAAUUGUUUUCCUAUUUUGGCCAGACCUUUCACAACCUAAAAAAGCGCAAGGAUGAAUUAGGGCUUGAGGAUAUCUUUUCUUUACCUUUCAAUUUUCUCACGUAAUUCGAGCUUCUUUUAGAUUUUAAGAAAAGACAUACAAACUGUUUUGAAUUAGCUAGGUUUAUGAUCCAGGAAAAUAUACAAAAAUUAUUUUCAAUUUUUUCUUUUAAUUUUGGUUUUAAAAAAUGGAGGUGAGCUGAGGAUAGCAGCUGAUUCGAUUCACCAUCUGAUUUUUCGUUCCUGGUUCCGUUCGAGUAGAUUGCUGUUUCAAGUUCUGUUUGUAUCUACAGUAUUCUUCUGCCCAAUUGUUGAAGUUUCUAUUAAUUGAAUCUUCCCUAAAAGAUCCAUUCCGAUCUCUUUAUGGUACUGAUUUAUUCUCCUAGUUUCAUUGAUUUCAUUUUUUUGGUCUUGUUAAUUGUGUUCUUUUCCUGUAAGUUCAUAGUUUGUCCUAUGUGUCCAUUAUUUUACGUUUUAUUCGAGUUCUAGCAAAUAUACUUUUAGGGGAUAUAACCCAUUUCUCUAUCAUCAAAUUUUAACUUCGGGCCUUAUUUCUUUAUGAUCAAUUAUCUUGGCUUUGUCCAUGUUAAAGUAUUAUAUUUCAUGGUUUAAAUGCUAGUUAUAUUUUGUGAA
rnacentral:lncRNA from 1 species